GUCGGUUAAAUACCGACCUGCAUGAAUGGCGUAACGAGAUGGGAGCUGUCUCAAAGAGGGAUCCAGUGAAAUUGUAGUGGAGGUGAAAAUUCCUCCUACCCGCGGCAAGACGGAGAGACCCCGUGGACCUUUACUAUAGCUUGACACUGCUAUUUGGAUAAGAAUGUGCAGGAUAGGUGGGAGGCUUUGAGUAUAUGACGCCAGUUGUAUAUGAGCCAUUGUUGAGAUACCACUCUUUCUUAUUUGGGUAGCUAACCAGCUUGAGUUAUCCUCAAGUGGGACAAUGUCUGGUGGGUAGUUUGACUGGGGCGGUCGCCUCCCAAAUAAUAACGGAGGCUUACAAAGGUUGGCUCAGAACGGUUGGAAAUCGUUCGUAGAGUAUAAAGGUAUAAGCCAGCUUAACUGCAAGACAUACAAGUCAAGCAGAGACGAAAGUCGGUCUUAGUGAUCCGGUGGUUCUGUGUGGAAGGGCCAUCGCUCAAAGGAUAAAAGGUACCCCGGGGAUAACAGGCUGAUCUCCCCCAAGAGCUCACAUCGACGGGGAGGUUUGGCACCUCGAUGUCGGCUCAUCGCAUCCUGGGGCUGGAGCAGGUCCCA
rnacentral:rRNA from 1 species